UUAAAUUUGAUGAAUAGAAAUAGUAAACAAUAAUUUCUGAAUUAUAGCGAGUCGGAGUCGGUGUAAGUCCGAUAUUUAGAGUUUUGUUGAAUGGGUCUAGGAAUUAUGGGGCGAAGUAUAGUAGCCUUAAUCGGGGAUUUCCCGUUAUAGAAAUAGGAUAUCGAGUAUUAUAACUCCGUAUCUGUUAGAGUGAGAUGAAUAUUAUUCAUCUAAUGUGGGUGGUAUCACGGAAAUUAACCUUUCGUCCCUUUG
rnacentral:ncRNA from 1 species